rnacentral:rRNA from 1 species
UACAGGGGGGCAAGCGUUUGUUCGGAAUUACUGGGCGUAAAGGGCUCGUAGGCGGCCAACUAAGUCACACGUGAAAUCCCCAGGCUUAACCUGGGAACUGCGUGUGAUACUGGAUGGCUUGAAUCCGGGAGAGGGAUGCGGAAUUCCAGGCGUAGCGGUGAAAUGCGUAGAUAUCUGGAGGAACACCGGUGGCGAAGGCGGCAUCCUGGACCGGUAUUGACGCUGAUGAGCGAAAGCCAGGGGAGCAAAACGGGG